UGAGGUACUGUAGGUAGAACGCUGACGGAACAUGGGCCAUUGUUGACAUCUAGCUGGACAGCCUGCGCCCCAGCUUCGUCCUCAAGUGCAGGCACCUGCCAUCACGAUGUCUGAUCCAGGGAAUGCCUAAUGGCUAUUCAAAGGUCUGUAGUAUGUACAUGAUUGAAAUUUUCAGUUUUCACACAUUGUAGUAGAUGACAUGUUAUAUUGAUCACAUGUGCUCUAGCACCAAUAUCAACGCAUAGUAUCGGUACACUUGAGCUUGGAGACUAUCUUUGUUGGGUUCAUCACCCAAAGUAAAAAGCACUUCCUUUAUUCAUAUAUAGUUCAUCAUCAUUCCCAUUAUAUGCAAUUUCAACACUUUGGGUAAUAUUCUCUGUGAUAGAAUUGAUUUGCACCUCGCAGGUGUUAAGCCAAGAUGAGACACCAUCCUUUUGUAGUUUGGUGUUUGGUACUAUAAAGUUUUCAUUAUGAUGCUAACGGCUUAUUUAUCUUACAUGCUAGCUGUACUAUCAAAAGCAUGGAUGCAAAGGACCUUAAUCUGUCAAGGAGGUGAGGAGAUGAUGUACCAUGUAUCAUUAGUGGAUGGCCACACAAAAAAAAUAGUAUUACUAUGUAAUGACUGAAAUUUCAA
rnacentral:lncRNA from 1 species